GUAGGUGGCAAGCGUUGUCCGGAAUUAUUGGGCGUAAAGCGCGCGCAGGCGGGUCCUUUAAGUCUGAUGUGAAAGCCCACGGGCUCAACCGUGGAGGGUCAUUGGAAACUGGGGGACUUGAGUACAGAAGAGGAAAGCGGAAUUCCAUGUGUAGCGGUGAAAUGCGUAGAGAUGUGGAGGAACACCAGUGGCGAAGGCGGCUUUCUGGUCUGUAACUGACGCUGAGGCGCGAAAGCGUGGGGAGCAAACAGGAUUAGAUACCCUGGUAGUCCACGCCGUAAACGGUGAGUGCUAAGUGUUAGGGGGUUUCCGCCCCUUAGUGCUGCAGCUAACGCAUUAAGCACUCCGCCUGGGGAGUACGGCCGCAAGGCUG
rnacentral:rRNA from 1 species